GACGAACGCUGGCGGCGUGCUUAACACAUGCAAGUCGAACGGAAAGGCCCUGCUUGCAGGGUACUCGAGUGGCGAACGGGUGAGUAACACGUGGGUGAUCUGCCCUGCACUUCGGGAUAAGCCUGGGAAACUGGGUCUAAUACCGGAUAGGAGCCACUUUUAGUGUGAUGGUUGGAAAGUUUUUUCGGUGUAGGAUGAGCUCGCGGCCUAUCAGCUUGUUGGUGGGGUAAUGGCCUACCAAGGCGGCGACGGGUAGCCGGCCUGAGAGGGUGGACGGCCACAAUGGGACUGAGGGACGGCCCAGACGCCUACGGGAGGCAGAAGGGGGGAAUAUUGCACAAUGGGCGCAAGCCUGAUGCAGCGACGCCGCGGGGGGGAUGACGGCCUUCGGGUUGUAAACUCCUUUCGCUAGGGACGAAGCUUUUUGUGACGGUACCUAGAGAAGAAGCACCGGCUAACUACGUG
rnacentral:rRNA from 1 species